rnacentral:rRNA from 1 species
UACGGGGGGGGCAAGCGUUGUUCGGAAUUACUGGGCGUAAAGGGCUCGUAGGCGGCUAACUAAGUCAGACGUGAAAUCCCCAGGCUUAACCUGGGAACUGCGUCUGAUACUGGAUGGCUUGAGAUUGGGAGAGGGAUGCGGAAUUCCAGGUGUAGCGGUGAAAUGCGUAGAUAUCUGGAGGAACACCGGUGGCGAAGGCGACAGCCUGGACCAACACUGACGCUGAAGAGCGAAAGCCAGGGGAGCAAACGGG